rnacentral:rRNA from 1 species
UGCCAGCAGUCGCGGUUAAACCAAGGGAUCAAGUUAUCUUUGACGGUAAAAAACAGUUAGGUAGAAUUUAAUGUUUGCCAAUCAAUAUAAUAAAGUAAAAUUUGUAUAUUCUAGAAAACCUGAGAAACAUGUUCUGAUCUGUGAAAUCCUUGAGGGAAACUGGGAUUAGAUACCCCACUAUUCAAGGACAUAAAACUAUUACCAGGGUACUACGAACCAUGUUUAAAACUCAAAGGGCUUGGCGGUGCCUUAGACUUUCCAGGGGAACCUGUCUCAUAAUCGAUAAUCCACGUAACACCUGACCCCGUUUAUUGGUUUGUAUACCGUCGUCGGCAGGUAACUUCCAAAAAAAUAAAAGUUAACAGAAAAAUACUAAGUUAAGACGUCAGAUCAAGGUGCAGCUUAUGGCGGGGGGAGGAUGGGUUACAAUUACAAUUCAUAAUCUACCAAAGCUUAUUGAAAAAUUUGUUUAAAGGCGGACUUGGAAGUAAGUUAAAAUAUAUAAACAUUCUGAAUGUGGCUCUGAGGUGUGUACAAACCGCCCGUCGCUC